rnacentral:rRNA from 1 species
GGAAUCUUCCACAAUGGACGCAAGUCUGAUGGAGCAACGCCGCGUGAGUGAAGAAGGGUUUCGGCUCGUAAAGCUCUGUUGUUAAAGAAGAACACGUAUGAGAGUAACUGUUCAUACGUUGACGGUAUUUAACCAGAAAGUCACGGCUAACUACGUGCCAG